rnacentral:rRNA from 1 species
UACGUAGGGGGCGAGCGUUGUCCGGAUUUAUUGGGCGUAAAGAGCUCGUAGGCGGCUUGGCAAGUCGGGUGUGAAACCUCCAGGCUCAACCUGGAGACGCCACUCGAUACUGCUAUGGCUAGAGUCCGGUAGGGGACCACGGAAUUCCUGGUGUAGCGGUGAAAUGCGCAGAUAUCAGGAGGAACACCGGUGGCGAAGGCGGCUGCCUGGGCCAGUUCUGACGCUGAGGCGCGAAAGCGUGGGGAGCAAACAGG